rnacentral:rRNA from 1 species
UACGAAGGGGGCUAGCGUUGCUCGGAAUCACUGGGCGUAAAGCGCACGUAGGCGGAUUGCUAAGUCAGGGGUGAAAUCCUGGAGCUCAACUCCAGAACUGCCUUUGAUAACUGGCGAUCUUGAGUCCGGGAGAGGUGAGUGGAACUGCGAGUGUAGAGGUGAAAUUCGUAGAUAUUCGCAAGAACACCAGUGGCGAAGGGCGGCUCACUG